UGAGGAAUAUUGGUCAAUGGGCGCGAGCCUGAACCAGCCGAGUAGCGUGAAGGAUGAAGGUCCUACGGAUUGUAAACUUCUUUUAUAAGGGAAUAAAGUCACCCACGUGUGGGUGUUUGUAUGUACUUUAUGAAUAAGGAUCGGCUAACUCCGUGCCAGCAGCCGCGGUAAUACGGAGGAUCCGAGCGUUAUCCGGAUUUAUUGGGUUUAAAGGGAGCGUAGAUGGAUGUUUAAGUCAGUUGUGAAAGUUUGCGGCUCAACCGUAAAAUUGCAGUUGAUACUGGAUAUCUUGAGUGCAGUUGAGGCAGGCGGAAUUCGUGGUGUAGCGGUGAAAUGCUUAGAUAUCACGAAGAACUCCGAUUGCGAAGGCAGCCUGCUAAGCUGCAACUGACAUUGAGGCUCGAAAGUGUGGGUAUCAAACAGGAUUAGAUACCCUGGUAGUCCACACGGUAAACGAUGAAUACUCGCUGUUUGCGAUAUACUGCAAGCGGCCAAGCGAAAGCGUUAAGUAUUCCACCUGGGGAGUACGCCGGCAACGGUGAAACUCAAAGGAAUUGACGGGGGCCCGCACAAGCGGAGGAACAUGUGGUUUAAUUCGAUGAUACGCGAGGAACCUUACCCGGGCUUAAAUUGCAGAUGAAUUACGGUGAAAGCCGUAAGCCGCAAGGCAUCUGUGAAGGUGCUGCAUGGUUGUCGUCAGCUCGUGCCGUGAGGUGUCGGCUUAAGUGCCAUAACGAGCGCAACCCUUGUUGUCAGUUACUAACAGGUUUUGCUGAGGACUCUGACAAGACUGCCAUCGUAAGAUGCGAGGAAGGUGGGGAUGACGUCAAAUCAGCACGGCCCUUACGUCCGGGGCUACACACGUGUUACAAUGGGGGGUACAGAGGGCCGCUACCACGCGAGUGGAUGCCAAUCCCCAAAACCUCUCUCAGUUCGGACUGGAGUCUGCAACCCGACUCCACGAAGCUGGAUUCGCUAGUAAUCGCGCAUCAGCCACGGCGCGGUGAAUACGUUCCC
rnacentral:rRNA from 1 species